CUUAGUGGCGGACGGGUGAGUAACGCGUGGGUAACCUGCCUCACACUGGGGGAGUAACAGUUAGAAAUAGCUGCUAAUACCGCAUAAGCGCACGGUUCCGCAUGGAACAGUGUGAAAAACUCCGGUGGUGUGAGAUGGACCCGCGUCUGAUUAGCCAGUUGGCGGGGUAACGGCCCACCAAAGCGACGAUCAGUAGCCGGCCUGAGAGGGUGAACGGCCACAUUGGGACUGAGACACGGCCCAGACUCCUACGGGAGGCCAGCAUG
rnacentral:rRNA from 1 species